UACGUAGGUGGCGAGCGUUAUCCGGAAUUAUUGGGCGUAAAGCGCGCGCAGGCGGUUUCUUAAGUUGGGUGUGAAAGCCCACGGCUCAACCGUGGAGGGUCAUUGGAAACUGGGGGACUUGAGUGCAGAAGAGGAGAGCGGAAUUCCACGUGUAGCGGUGAAAUGCGUAGAGAUGUGGAGGAACACCAGUGGCGAAGGCGACUCCCUGGUCUGUAACUGACGCUGAGGCGCGAAAGCGUGGGGAGCAAACAGG
rnacentral:rRNA from 1 species